CCCAGUUGCAAGUUUCUUUCUUUUCCAUUUUGCCUUUUUAGUCUCACAGUUUGACACUUUCGACGUAAAUACCCCGAGGGAAAGGCGUCUUGCAUUAAAUUGACUGGAAAUUGUGGGGCCGAAUUUUUGUAGCGUCAUGCCAAAGUUAUAAGUUCUGCUGCUGGAUGUCAGAAUCAUUUACGUUAUUGCUACUAAGACUUUCAUAGUUUUAUUGCCUUUUUAAAUCGUCUGCUCGGCGAAACUCUAUUCACGAAUAUGCUUAACAAUUUUUCUAUGUUACUCCCGUUAAAACCGAGGCGAAUAGCUGAAAGGGAAAGGGUUUUCUUCACUUUUUCCCCUCAUCGUUGUUAUUGAUCACAGAUCCAGAGAACAAUGUGUGGAAUCUGAUAUUCUAGCCCUGGAAACCCCAGGUGCCUUUCUGCUUCAACAAGGCUAUGAAGCAACUAUAAUUUCAGGAGGUUCUAACUCAUUGUACGAGGUUGAUGCCCCAGUAUACGACACAAAUCUUUAGGCUGCGGUCUUCCAGUAUUGGGAAUUUUUAUGGCGAGCAAAUACUCAACAAGGAGUUAGCGUCUGGGGCUUGAAUCCUUACAGAAUUGAAUGGCUAUCUUUGUCGAAUGCUUCAUUUCGUUUACAUCGACUAUACUUCAAUAAAUUUGCAAGUGGGAAAAGGUUGUCUUUAAGCAACAAGAAGGUAUUAUUGCGUGUCUAUGUAUAAAUAAUGGGUGAGCAUAGGAUUGUGGCGAUGGAUGUUUGUGGAUCAAAUCGCAUCAGACGUAAAAGUACACAAUAUGUUUGCUGAUUCACUU